GGUUUUCAGCAAUUGUUUAACAUCCUUCUUUUUCAGUAAAAAACUUAAUUUUGGAAUGUGAUUGUCAGGUUUCUCAGAGCUAGAAUUAUCUAUACAAAGAAGUAGCUGUGGGCUUUGAUUACCUACCUAACCUUAACCAAUCCCAGUUGGCUGAGUGGGUAGGCAAUAGAGUUGUCACUCUGUGAUUUUGCUGCGUAUGAUGCCAGUGCGUCAAAAGGAUUUAUUUAUAGAAGAUCAUAAAAUUCUCAGCUUAAAGUGGGACAUUUUGCUUCUCUAUUCUUCUCGCUAAUUAGGAAUUGUCACUGACUUUUGCAGUUACCUACUUAAAUAGCAUUGAUUCUUAUACAGUACAUUUCCUAUAGCAUGUUUAUAUGUAUUCAAUAUAAAAAACUACACAUGAAAACGCAGAGAUUAAAGUAAAUUUCGAUUGUAUAGCAGGAUGUAAAAUUAUGUGGAUAUGUUCUUUUUAUAAGAAAAUAAUCAUCAGAAGUAGAUAUCAAGUAUACUCUAUGGCGGAAUUUCUAUUCUUUUUGUUUCUUUUAUUUGUAAUAUUGGGUGACUUGUAGUAUUUUAAAUCCACACUAGAGAACUUUGUAGGGUAUAAUAUUCUCCAAAAAGAGAAGGAGUUACAUGAGAAUUUGACUGUAGCUGUCUUUGAAGGAGUAGGAUUAUAGAUGAUUUCUGUUUCCUUCUGUUUCUUUAUCUUUGUUUUCUUUUUCUGGAAUGAAAAUGUAUUGCUUUUGUAAUAAAAACCAACCAAAAAAUUAUUUUGGGGGAAAAACAAUGCUUCGUUGUAAAAAAAAAAAAAAACACAAGCUUUUUUAGAAAGCAAUUUGUAUGGUUUUUAGAGGCUAGGAAGUGGGGUGGGGUGGGUACAGAGAGAUUGGUUAAUGAAUACAAAAUUACAGCUGGAUAGGAGGAAUAAGUUUUGGGGUUGUAUAGCACUGUAGAGUGAAUAUAGCAAACAAUAAUUUAUUGUAUGUGUUCAAAAAUCUAGAAGAGAGGAUUUUGAAAGAAAUCGUGAAUGUUUGAGGUGAUGGAUAUCCUAGUUACCCUGAUCUGUUCAUUACACAUUAUACACAGGUAUUGAAAUAUCACUCCGUACUCCAUAAAUGUGUGCCAUUAUUAUGUGUCAACUAAAAAUAAAAGGAAAAUAAUGAAACCAAACCAAACCAAAACAACAACAAAAAAGCAAUUUGGAAUAGAAGCAAGACAUACAUUGUAGCUCUUGGCCCAGGGGAGUUAUUAUCAUAGCAAGGCAAUGCCUGAUCACAGUGCACAUGAGUGGGAUUUCUGUAAAGGAAAAAGAGAAAAACAACAGCAUAGAGGCUAGGGAAAAUGCUCUUUCUAGUAGCAGAAACAGCUAUUUACAUGAAGUUGUAUCUCAGCCUAGUGUAGCCUUGAGGAACUCUUAGGUUUCAUAGAGGAGCAGUUUGGGACCAAAUUGUUGCCUCAAGUACAAGACAAAGGAGUUUUGUGCUUGACUUAGGAGAUGAUGAAAACUCGUUUGAAAGUAUUUGAGUAGGUGAGUGAUCAGAUUACUACUAUGCUUUAGAAACGUUGACUGGCAACCUGGAUUAGUGGCUUGGAGUAUGGAAUAACAGUAGAAAGAGGUUAGUAGUUGAAACUCUUUAAAAUAGCCCAGAAGAGAUCUUAAAUUAGGCUCCAAUUUUCUGAGUGGAGUGGGUAAGAUGAAAAAAAGAUAAGAAAAUGAGGCCAGGCGCGGUGGCUCAUGCAUGUAAUCCCAGCACUUUGGGAGGCCGAAAUGGGAGGAUCACUUGAGGCCUGGAGUUCAAGAUCAGGCUGGCCAACCUGGUGAAACCCCGUCUCUACUAAAAAUACAAAACAAAACAAAACAAAACAAAAGCCAGGUGUGGUGACUGGCACCUGUAAUCCCAGCUACUGGGGAGGCAGAGACAGGAGAAUCGCUUGAACCCAGGAGGCGAAGGUUGCAGUGAGCCAAGAUUGUGCCACUGCACUCCAGUCUGGGAAACAGAGCAAGACUCCAUCUAAAAAAAAAGAAAGAAAGCCAUCUUCACUUUACUUAAGACACUCCAUGUAUUUAAUUCACAACUAAGUGAAGGCUGAAAAUUGAAAAUGAACUAAAAACUCCAGUCAAGUUUGAUACACAGUGGACCUGGGUUCCCAGACUCUUUCUCUACUCCCUUAGUGGAUUGCCCUUAAGAUAAGAUUCAAGGGCUUUAAAAAAAAAAAAAAAUCUGUGAAAAAGGCAUUGAUGGUAAGGUACUUGUUUCUUUCAAUUUCUGCUUUAUGGAAUCCACAUAUUUAAGCUCACCUUGAUGAAUGCUAUAUUGAACAUGUUAAUAGAAAUGAUGACUAGAGGGAGAGAAGGGGAGGGAAACUGAAGAGCCUUCCCACCAGUCUAUUAUCACCUAGGGGCAGAAUAUGCUAACUGAAGACUCAUUUCUUCUGAGUAAUACAUAUUUUUAAUUUUCAAAAAAAAAAAAUAUUUUUUUUGAGACAGAGUUUCACUCUUGUUGCCCAGGCUGGAGUUCAGUGGUGCAAUCUCGGCUCACUGCAACCUCCACCUCCUCUAAUGGCCUCCUAAUACAUUGGAGUAAAAUCCCAUCCCUUAGCCUGCCAUGGACAGUGCCUGGGCUGGCCCAGCCUCCCUCUCCUUCUACUCCUGCCCGUACUUACCAUGCUUGGGCACUCUGACGUUUGCUCCAAUAACUCCCUCCAGCUGGAAUGAUCUUCCCUGUUUAUGCUGUAGCUGGGUCGUUUUUGUCACUCAGUGUCUCAGUUUUGAGCUGCCCCCCUUAGAGAGACCUUCCUGAACCCCAUCCUGACAGUAGGCUGUGGUCACUCUUGGCUCUGACCAACCAGCUAUAGUUCUGCAAUAGCACUUAUUGUUCUCUGAAAUCAUAAUUUUAUACUUGUCCACUGCUUUUAUUCCCACCCGUUCCCCUAAAAUAUUUGACAAGACUUUGCUUAUUCUUUCCAUUGAUGUGUAUCACUACAACGAUGUCUGGCACGUAGGUACUCAAUAACCAUUUUUCAAAAGAUUCUGGAAGAUAAUAAAAAUAUGUUCCCUUUGGCUGAAGUGAUUGGAUUUUGUCAACCUUGGGGCCUGAUUGGCAUAAUACCUCUAUAGAUAUUAGUAGAAAUGUCUCAACCUUCUUCCCUGGGGAGUUUGAGCUUGUGAAGUCUGAUUCUCUAGGUUGACAUUUCUGCAGAUUGGGUAGAGGUAAGUAGGUUUAACUUGAUAAAGUGAAGUGGCAGUGUUAUCCAAGAAGUUAAAAUAGAGAAUGAAGGGUGUCAGUACAUAACUUACAUUUUUAAAUUACACAAAGGUAUAUGUAAAAUGUGCAUCCAUGAAUAAAAUUUAUAUAGAUGUAGCUAUGUCCAGGUACACACAAGUCCAGAUAACUAUAGCAGUGGGUGGAAACAAAAGCUUGAGUAAUACAAGCAAAACCUAAUACCAAAAAUAGUUUACCCUAUUUUAGAGAUGUAGUAGUCAGAGUCAUAAGGUAAUGAGAUAAAAACAAAACUCAGAGUGUAUACAUCCAAAUAAAUAUUUCUCUCAAUAUUGUCUUCAGAACACCAUACAAUAUAUUCUGCUUAAAUAGGCAUAUGGAUUGAUUCAAGUGACUUGUUUUUGAUAGGUUGCUAGAACAACGUAGAACAUUCUAGAACCUCCUAGAACAGAAUGAUUACUAUCAGUGGUGGAAGCAUCUGUACCUCUUCAAAUACCCCCUUCGUAAAAAUGUAUGCUUGAAAGGCAAAAUGAUUUAUUUGUGCCCACAACCAAUUAGCAGUGAAGAGAAUUCAGAAAAAGGGAGCAAUGAGCUUAGGAUGAAAGGUAGAGAAGAGGUGAGAGUUGACCUGGAUGGGAUGCGAAGAGCUAGCAGAGCAAAGGCAGGCAUCCCAAAUGGAGAGAACCUGAGGAGAGUGCAGACCUCUUGUGGAACGUAGAACUGAGUAUGGACAAGCCUGGAGUAAGAGUUUCAAUUUCAGGACAAAUGAUGGAACAAGAUUUUCUUUUUCCAUUGGACAAGCAAUUUACCUGAAUUCUUUUGGUGGCACCGUUUGGUAAACCUAAAGAAAUCAAAGUCAAAAACUUGGAUUCUUUUGAGUAUUUGUUAUCAGGAUUAUUCCCUUGUUGUAUCCUUUUAUUGAUGUCAAUAGCACAAAGGAUACUAGGCUAAAUAGAAGAAUGGAACACCUCCAGCAAUAUUUAGAGAACUGGAAAGUGAAGAGGCAUCUUCAAGUGUUAAUCAGACUGUCAUUGAAACUGUCCCUGUAAACUUUAUUAAAUUAAUCAGAGAAGAAGAGAGAAAGAAAAAAUAAACAUAAUCCAAGCCUGCAGCACAUUCA